rnacentral:lncRNA from 1 species
UCUUCUAGAAUUUUUGUAAUUUGAAGACUUACCUUUAAGUCUUCACUCCAUCUUGAGUUAUUUUUGUCUAUGGUGAGAGGUAGGGGUCUUGUUUCAUUCCUCUGUAAAAAUAAUGGUUGUUGCUUUUAAUAUAUCCCUAAUGCAAGUACCAUUUUAAAAAUAAAUUUCUUAGAGUUGUUCGUUAUUUAUGCUUUAAUAAGUGGGAGUCCAUCUGUUGAGAAAACACUGGCCUUGGUGAUAUGUGUGUGUGUGUGUGUGUGUGUGUGUACACAUCUUAAACCCACGGUCUGGAGAUGAGUUGCACUUCUCUAGUUUAAGAAUUUAAAAACUAUAGAAUCAUAGGAGGGACCAUAAAUUCGGGAGAAUGGCAGAAUAAAUAUCAGAGGCUUAUCCUCUCCUUUUAUUUUUUCCCAUAUUCAAACAUUGUAAUGCCAUCUACAUGAUAUUUUGCCAUCUAUACCUAACAAUUAUAUUAUGGUGAUGAUGUAAUAUUUCUUUAAAUUGACCUUAAUUAAACUCAUUCAUUUUACAUCACAUUGUCUUAAUAAAAAAUACUUUUAAAAUUAUAAAUAAUAUAGGCAUAUCAGGUCUAUACAUAACAUUUAUAUUUUUUCAAGAAUCAGAUUAAAUGAGAUAAGGCCACAUUUCAAAAG